rnacentral:rRNA from 1 species
CGACGUGAGGAACCUGCCUUCCAGAGGGGGACAACAGUUGGAAACGACUGCUAAUCCCGCAUGACACAUGACCGUGGCAUCACGGACAUGUCAAAGAUUUAUCGCUGGAAGAUGGCCUCGCGUCUGAUUAGCUGGUAGGCGGGGUAACGGCCCACCUAGGCGACGAUCAGUAGCCGGACUGAGAGGUUGACCGGCCACAUUGGGACUGAGAUACGGCCCAGACUCCUACGGGAGGCAGCAG